rnacentral:piRNA from 1 species
UAAAAAAAAUUGAUGCUACAUUCCCA